rnacentral:misc_RNA from 1 species
UCAAACUUGGUCAUUUAGAGGAAGUAAAAGUCGUAACAAGGUUUCCGUAGGUGAACCUGCGGAAGGAUCAUUAUCGUAUCUCCGAGGAGGGGUCCGGUUGGGCCCUGCUCCGGCCCACUAGGCCGUGCAGCGGGUCUCCCGUUCCCUGACUCAACCUAAAAAAAAAACCCCUGUGAACCUUCACGGCCAGAGGGUGCCGCCGGCGAAAGCUUGCGUGCGCCUGAAGCCGCAUCAUAUAAACCCCUGUUCAAAAGAAUGUCUAGCGGACUCUGUUCCGUCUACAAUUGAAACAACUUUCAACAACGGAUCUCUUGGCUCUCGCAUCGAUGAAGAACGCAGC